rnacentral:lncRNA from 1 species
CUGCAACCAAGGCAGCCCUGGAGCGAGUUCAAGGUGCGGAGCUGUCGCAGACCCCUCCUGAAGCAGGCAGCCCUGGACACACACUGCUGGCACCACAUCUUGUGCUGCCCUCGCAGCCUUUGCUGCCCAUGGGGCUCAGGUUCUCACACGGGCUCACCCGUGAUGGGCACGGCUGGAGGAUGUGGCUGGGCUGAAUUCCAGCCCCAUGGACACAUCCCAAGUGCAGCACAUGAGCAGUGCUCAGGGUGAUUGCCGAGUGCUUGUGGGACAGGGAAGGAGCACAGGAGAUGGUCCUGGUCCUUGUGGAGUUGGCCAGUGCAGCCUUCACCCAUUUUAUUGAUUAUGUAAGCACCAAAGUGUGUCUCUGUCAUCUCAGGGGAUCACGUAACGAUUGCCCAAUGUCCCCCAUGGAGCUGCAGCCCCUUCAGGGCUUGUCCCCAUCCCCUGCUCACAGCAGUUCUGCAACUCUGGGGUAAUGUCACAGCCCACGUUACAGCGGCAACUGCCCCUGCCCGGACACCAACACAGACCUGCACCCUGACUGCACCCAGACUUUUCGCCUGUUCCCAUCUCCGUGCUCCGUUCCCUUCUGCCGUGUUCCUGAUCUGCUCUGCCCUGCUCCCAUCCCCGUCUGCUUGCUGCCAUCCCUACUGCCCUGCUCCCAGCCCUUUCCACUUUUUCCCAGUCCCAUUUCUUUGUUCCUUGCCCUUAUACCUGACUUAUACCUUAUACCCGAUACGAGGAAAUGCAGGCCCAGAAGAAAGCCACCCGUGUCCUGCUGGUGGCCGCGCUGAGCCCUUGCGGAGGCGAGGAGGCAGAGGACUCCCUUCACAGAGUCCUCAAGCCCUUACCGCCCCGCAAGGUGCUCAAGCAGAGCAGGAAGAGGAUCCUCCGGCUGCAGGCGCCAGCCUGUCAGAGCUGGCUAUUCCAACAACUGCGGGAGCUGGAGGAUCAGGCCACCAGCAGGACCCAGCUGGGGCUGGGUGACGAACCCAUGCAGGUGGACGUGGAAGGGGAGGAGGAGGAAGCGAUGGAGGUGGAUGAGGAGGUGGAGGAGGCGAUGGAUACAAACUGAGCAGUGGGCUGGAGAAGAGGGAAGUGUUCAUGGGGUUUGGAGAAGUUUUCGUUGGAAGAGUUCCUGUUUUCUUUGAAGAUUGUUUCUGGUUUAGAAGAUUGUUGUUUCUUAAGAAGAUUGUUGUUUCUCUCAUAGGACUUAUAGGUUUAUAUAGGAUAGGUGUAAGUUAAGAAUAAGACUUUUACAUUUAGGUAGUAUAGUUGUAGUUUUAGGUAGAAGAGUUGUAUUUCUAAGAAGAACGGUCGUUCUUUGCUGUUUCUUUUGUUUAUUUUUGUUGUUUUGUAAAUACAUUUCUUGAC